rnacentral:lncRNA from 10 species
AGUCAUUGAACAUUUAUAGACAUUUAAACCCAAGGGGAACACUAGAGGUCAUUUGGUUCAAGUUCCUUGUUUUACUGGUGAGAAAACUGAAGACCAGAGAGGCCAAGUGACAGGUCCACAGUCUCAUAGGGAGUAAGGGAGUAAUGGACAAAGAUUAGAAACCGCAGCUCUCAACUCUUUGACUAGUGUCUUGUAGAGGAAGCCUUUCAUGCUGUACUCAUUAUGACAACAACAAUAUUUUCUAUGAAAUUUUCUCCUUUGGCCUUACUAAUUAUUAUCCAGUGCUAACCUCUCUGUCUCUACUCCCUCACAUAUAAACUGACACUAUUAUUCAAAAUUACAAAACUAUUUAUUAGGGUUAAAACUUUCUAGAUGUACAUAAAUAGAAAAUCAAUGUAAAAUAUACAUGCAAAAGAUACACAUUUCUACAAUGUUCAGUGAAAUCUUGAUGCUGAACAUCAGAUACAUUUCAGAUGCUGUAUGUGUACAAAUUCAACUUUCCUAUGUAUAUGUGGUCACUUUAUUUUGUGCUGUGGACCAGUAAAUACAUAUGCAAGAAACAAACCUUCGACAUGCCAUUUGAUUCUGAAAAAAUGUCUUUGGAUUAUCCCACCAAUCAUAUUGAUGUUCUUUAGAACUUCACUCUCACUAAACCAUACAGCAGCAUGUGGGAGAAAAGUUCAUACAGAAGGAGGAGGGACUUACUUCUCCUCCUUGCGAUUAUUAUUGCGAUUAAGGAUUAUUAUUAAUUCUUAAAGAUUAAGAUUAUUAUUAAUUAUUAAUUGUAAUUAUUAAUUCUUAAAGAUUAUUAAUUAUAAUAUUAAAUUAUAUUAUUAAUUCUUAAAGAUUAUUAAUUAUAAUAUUAAAUUAUAAUUAUUAAUUCUUAAAGAUUAUGAAUUAUAAUAUUAAAUUAUAAUUAAUUCUUAAAGAUUAAGAUUAUUAUUGUGAAUAAGAAGAAAAAUGAUCUAAUUUAAUGUAAAAACCCUCCAGUGACAUCAUUGUUCAUUAUUCUCUUUUUCUUUUAUAUUACCUCAAAAAUUCCUUAGAUAUAAACAAUUACAGAAAACAUAACAAUAGCACAAUAUAAAAAUUCAAGUCCUUCAACUUCCAGUUAUAGCAUUGUACAAAUUUGAGUGUAUGCAUGUUCUCUUUUGCAUGUUCACAUUACACAUUCAAGGCUGAUUAGUAGCAGCAGUGUUUCUCAGCCCAAUGCCAUCCAUUGAUUUAGCAUUCUAUUCCUUCCAGAAACCUAGUCAUCCCCAAACUGAGAACUUUAUAUAGUAUGUUCUACAUUACAGGCCAUGAAAAUGUGCUGUAUCCAUUUAUUAGUAUGAACAGUUAAUGACACACUAUUGAAUGCUUCUACUUAAUUGUUUCAUAUAAAGGCUUUAACACAAAGGAGGUAGAGGAUCUGUGGCUUAUACAGAAAAAUUAUUAUGUUUCAAGCUGGGCACUUAAUUCAAAUCUUAUCCUAAGUCACGCAUCAUUAGACAAAAAGCCUGAGGAACUGAAAGAACCAUGUAAACAUUUUCUGCUUUCAAAAUGCUUAAAGAAGUUUUAGAUUAAUGGGAUUUGAUACUUUUAAUGAUGUCAAAGAUGGUAUAUAAGUGCCUUAUUAUUUCAUUGACUUACUGCCAAAUAUUGAAGGCAAUUCAUGAUUACUAAUUUAAUCUUUUCUGAUUAUGAAAAUCCAUUAUAGCAAGAAAAAAUAUAAAGUUCAGAAAAGUAGAAACUAUUUAUUUAAAAAUUAGAAUAUAUUUAUACAAACAGAAUGUUUGGACAUGGGCUUAAAAUUCCUCUGGAAGGCUGGGAGCAGUGGCUCAUGCCUGUAAUCCUAGCACUCUGGGAGGCUGUGUGUUUUCUUUCUAAAUUCUAGCAGCCUUAAUGGCCCUAAUGUGGCUUCU